ACAGAGGGUGCGAGCGUUGUCCGGAAUCACUGGGCGUAAAGGGCGCGUAGGCGGCUUGAUAAGCGUGCGGUGAAAGCCCGGGGCUCAACCCCGGGUCGGCCGUGCGAACUGUCGAGCUGGAACACUGUAGAGGCAGGUGGAAUUCCGGGUGUAGCGGUGAAAUGCGUAGAGAUGUGGAGGAAUACCGAUGGCGAAGGCAGCCUCCUGGGCCAACACUGACGCUCAUGCACGAAAGCGUGGGGAGCAAACAGGA
rnacentral:rRNA from 1 species